UACGAGGGGGGCGAGCGUUGUUCGGAAUUAUUGGGCGUAAAGGGUGCGUAGGCGGUUCCGCAAGUCCUGUGUGAAAUCUUCGGGCUCAACUCGAAGUCUGCACGGGAAACUGCGGGGCUUGAGUGUGGGAGAGGUGAGUGGAAUUCCUGGUGUAGCGGUGAAAUGCGUAGAUAUCAGGAGGAACACCGGUGGUGUAAACGGCUUUCUGGACCAUAACUGACGCUGAGGCACGAAAGCGUGGGUAGCAAACAGG
rnacentral:rRNA from 1 species